rnacentral:rRNA from 1 species
UACAGAGGGUGCGAGCGUUGUCCGGAAUCACUGGGCGUAAAGGGCGCGUAGGUGGCGACCCAAGUCGAUGGUGAAAGCUCGCCGCUCAACGGCGAGUCGGCCACCGAUACUGGGUUGCUCGAGCACUGUAGAGGCUAAUGGAAUUCCGGGUGUAGCGGUGGAAUGCGUAGAGAUCCGGAAGAACACCGGUGGCGAAGGCGGUUAGCUGGGCAGUUGCUGACACUGGGGCGCGACAGCGUGGGGAGCAAACAGG